rnacentral:rRNA from 1 species
UGCCAGCAGCCGCGGUAAUACGGAGGGUGCAAGCGUUGUUCGGAAUUACUGGGCGUAAAGCGCGCGUAGGCAGCUAUUUAAGUCAGAUGUGAAAGUCCACGGCUCAACCGUGGAAGUGCAUUCGAAACUGUAAGGCUUGAGUAUUGGAGGGGGUAGUGGAAUUCCCGGUGUAGAGGUGAAAUUCGUAGAUAUCGGGAGGAAUACCGGUGGCGAAGGCGACUAUCUGGCCAAAUACUGACGCUGAGGUGCGAAAGCGUGGGGAGCAAACAGGAUUAGAUA